AAUCAACGCUGGCGGCGUGCCUAACACAUGCAAGUCGAACGCGAGGACCCCGCAAGGGGUUAGUAGAGUGGCGAACGGGUGAGUAACACGUGGGUGACCUGCCCUCAGCUCUGGGAUAAGCCUGGGAAACUGGGUCUAAUACUGGAUAUGACUCCACGGUGCAUGUCGUGGGGUGGAAAGCCUUGUGCGGCUGAGGAUGGGCCCGCGGCCUAUCAGCUUGUUGGUGGGGNAUGGCCUACCAAGGCGACGACGGGUAGCCGGCCUGAGAGGGCGACCGGCCACACUGGGACUGAGACACGGCCCAGACUCCUACGGGAGGCAGCAGUGGGGAAUCUUGCGCAAUGGGCGAAAGCCUGACGCAGCGACGCCGCGUGAGGGAUGACGG
rnacentral:rRNA from 1 species